AAAAAGCAAAAAGUUGCAAUAUCGUUAUGCGACGUUACGUUAGAUAUUGCACUAAUUUGCUUUUGA
rnacentral:pre_miRNA from 1 species